rnacentral:rRNA from 1 species
GGAAUAUUGGUCAAUGGGCGAAAGCCUGAACCAGCCAUGCCGCGUGAAGGAUGACGGCGCUAUGCGUUGUAAAACUUCUUUUAAUACGGGAAGAAACCGUCCUAACGUGUAAUGGCGUUGACGGUACCGUACGAAUAAGCAUCGGCUAACUCCGUGCCAGCAGCCGCGGGUAAUACGGAGGAUGCAAGCGUUAUCCGGAUUUAUUGGGUUCAAAGGGUGCGUAGGCGGAAAAUUAACGUCAGUGGUGAAAUCCUGCGGCUCAACCGUAGAACUGUCAUUGAUACUGAUUUUCUUGAAUACAGUUGAGGUAAGGCGGAAUGUGUAAUGUAGCGGUGAAAUGCUUAGAUAUUACACAGAACACCGAUUGCGAAGGCAGCUUACUAAACUGUGAUUGACGCUGAGGCACGAAAGCGUGGGGAGCGAACAGGAUUAGAUACCCUGGUAGUCCACGCCGUAAACGAUGAUCACUCGUUGUUGGCAAUACAUCGUCAGCGACUGAGCGAAAGCAUUAAGUGAUCCACCUGGGGAGUACGAUCGCAAGAUUGAAACUCAAAGGAAUUGACGGGGGCCCGCACAAGCGGAGGAACAUGUGGUUUAAUUCGAUGAUACGCGAGGAACCUUACCUGGGCUUAAAUGUAGAACGACGGACCGGGAAACUGGUCUUUCUUCGGACGUUCUGCAAGGUGCUGCAUGGCUGUCGUCAGCUCGUGCCGUGAGGUGUCGGGUUAAGUCCCAUAACGAGCGCAACCCUCAUCAUUAGUUGCCAGCGGGUAAUGCCGGGGACUCUAAUGAAACUGCCGGUGUAAACCGAGAGGAAGGUGGGGAUGACGUCAAGUCAGCACGGCCCUUAUGUCCAGGGCUACACACGUGUUACAAUGGUCAGUACAAAGGGCAGCUACCAUGCGAAUGGAUGCUAAUCUCGAAAACUGAUCUCAGUUCGGAUCGAAGUCUGCAACUCGACUUCGUGAAGUUGGAUUCGCUAGUAAUCGCGCAUCAGCCACGGCGCGGUGAUACGUUCCCGGGCCUUGUACACACCGCCCGUCAAGCCAUGGAAGCCGGGGGUACCUGAAGUUCGUAACCGCAAGGAGCGACACUAGGGUAAAA